CACGCUGUAAACGGUGAACACUAGGUGUAGGGGGUAUCCAUUCCCUCUGUGCCGUCGUUAACACUUUAAGUGUUCCGCCUGGGAAGUACGGCCGCAAGGUUGAAACUCAAAGGAAUUGACGGGGGCCCGCACAAGCGGUGGAGCAUGUGGUUUAAUUCGACGCAACGCGAAGAACCUUACCUGGGCUCGAACGGUAGCUUACAUGGGAUGAAAGUCCCUGCCCGCAAGGGGUGCUAUCGAGGUGC
rnacentral:rRNA from 1 species